rnacentral:rRNA from 4 species
AACUGCGACCCCAGGUCAGGCGG